UACGUAGGGUGCGAGCGUUGUCCGGAAUUAUUGGGCGUAAAGAGCUCGUAGGCGGUCUGUCGCGUCGAUCGUGAAAACUUGGGGCUUAACCCUGAGCUUGCGGUCGAUACGGGCAUGACUGGAGUUCGGCAGGGGAGACUGGAAUUCCUGGUGUAGCGGUGAAAUGCGCAGAUAUCAGGAGGAACACCGGUGGCGAAGGCGACACGCUGGGCCGUACCUGACACUGAUGCGCGACAGCAUGGGGAGCAAACAGG
rnacentral:rRNA from 1 species